GGGGGUGACCGGCUUCGACGUGGGUUACGGAAUCCGAGGUGCAUGCCGAGGCGUCACGUCCUCGUUAAUCCUGUGGCAACCUAAGCUAGUUGCGAACGACUCCAACUACGCCCUCGCCGCCUAAAUCCGGCGAGCGUCUCACUCCCUGGUUCCGAUGCCGGAGAGAUUGGGACGUCGACUUACAUCGGAUCGCAGUGACGUCCGCCCUUGGCCGAUCUGCAAAAACCUUAAGGGGAUAAGCGACAGCGUUCCGUGCCUGUUCGGCAGCUGUUGACGAAAAUUAAAGACAGGCUAAGCAUGUAGAGCCGAGGGCUACGAGCUUGCGGACGCGGGUUCAAUUCCCGCCACCUCCACCA
rnacentral:tmRNA from 1 species